GAUGAACGCUGGCGGCGUGCCUAAUACAUGCAAGUCGAGCGAACGGACGAGAAGCUUGCUUCUCUGAUGUUAGCGGCGGACGGGUGAGUAACACGUGGAUAACCUACCUAUAAGACUGGGAUAACUUCGGGAAACCGGAGCUAAUACCGGAUAAUAUUUUGAACCGCAUGGUUCAAAAGUAAAAGACGGUCUUGCUGUCACUUAUCGAUGGAUCCGCGCUGCAUUAGCUAGUUGUUAAGUUAACGGCUUACCAAGGCAACGAUGCAUAGCCGACCUGAGAGGGUGAUAGGCCACCCUGGAACUGAGCCACCGUCAAGACUACUACGGGAGGCCGCAGUCGGCAACCUUACGCAGUGGGCGAAAGCAUGACGGAGCAACGCCGAGUGAGUUACGACAGUGUCCGGAGCGUAAAGAUGUGUUAUUAGGGAAAAACAGAUGUGUACGUAAAUGUGCACAUCUUGACGGUAACUAGUCAGAAAGCCACGGCUAACUACGUG
rnacentral:rRNA from 1 species